AUAAUUAUUUCCAUGGUUAAGAAAAAUAAUUUAACAUCUGACCAAGUCAAGAAUAGUUUUGAGCAGUUUGCCGGACAAUUUGAUCUAACGGACACUGGCCUAUUCUGCCAGAUUUGGGAUACCUGCUCUUUUUCCAGAGUUGGUCAGUUUGUGAGUUAAGGGUAAAAUACCCCUCUCGCCCUAUGACAGCUGGGAUAGGCUCCAGCACCCCCCGCAACCCUGAAAAGGAUAAGCAGAAGUGAAUGGAUGGAACAAACAACAAAAAACUAAUUACCUGAGCUGCAAUAAAAUGGCAAUGCAGCUCGGACGAGCUACGCUAUCCCAAACCAACCGGAGGAGAAGACUGCUGGCGGGUGAGUGUUUCUAUUGUGGGAAAAGAGGACACUAUGUUGAUACUUGCCCG
ensembl:lncRNA